rnacentral:rRNA from 1 species
UACCAGCACCCCGAGUGGUCGGGACGAUUAUUGGGCCUAAAGCAUCCGUAGCCGGUUCUACAAGUCUUCCGUUAAAUCCACCUGCUUAACAGGUGGGCUGCGGAGGAUACUAUGGAGCUAGGAGGCGGGAGAGGCAAGCGGUACUUAGUGGGUAGGGGUAAAAUCCGUUGAUCCAUUGAAGACCACCAGUGGCGAAGGCGGCUUGCCAGAACGCACUCGACGGUGAGGGAUGAAAGCUGGGGGAGCAAACCGG